ensembl:snoRNA SNORD29 Small nucleolar RNA SNORD29
UUUUGGUGAUGAGGUGAACUAGCUCACUUUGACCUGCGUGAAAACACCCGAACAGCUGAAAAAC